rnacentral:rRNA from 1 species
AUUGAACGCUGGCGGCGCGCUUAACACAUGCAAGUCGAUCGGUAACAGGUGUAGCAAUACAUGCUGACGAGAGGCGGACGGGUGAGUAAUGCUUGGGAAUCUGCCUAUUAGUGGGGGACAACCCGGGGAAACGUCGGGCUAAUACCGCAUACGCUCUACGGAGGAAAGCCGGGGACCGCAAGGCCUGGCGCUAAUAGAUGAGCCCAAGUCGGAUUAGCUAGUUGGUAGGGUAACGGCCUACCAAGGCGACAAUCCGUAGCUGGUCUGAGAGGACGACCAGCCACACCGGAACUGAGACACGGUCCGGACUCCUACGGGAGGCAGCAGUGGGGAAUAUUGGACAAUGGGGGCAACCCUGAUCCAGCGACGCCGCGUGGGUGAAGAAGGCCUGCGGGUUGUAAAGCCCUUUCGGUGGGGAAGAAAAGUCUCGACCUAAUACGUCGGGACCUUGACGUAACCCACUAAAGAAGCACCGGCUAACUCUGUGCCAGC